rnacentral:misc_RNA from 1 species
GAUGAAGAACGCAGCGAAAUGCGAUAAGUAAUGUGAAUUACAGAAUUCAGUGAAUCAUCGAAUCUUUGAACGCACAUUGCGCCCCUCGGUAUUCCGAGGGGCAUGCCUGUUCGAGCGUCAUUAUAACCCUUCAAGCUCAGCUUGGUGUUGGGGCCUGCUGUAACUGGUAGCCCUUAAAAUCAGUGGCAGUGCUAUUAGGCUCUAAGCGUAGUAAUUCUUCUCGCUAUAGUGUGUAGUGAGCGCUUGCCAGAACCCCAAACUUUUAUAUGAUUGACCUCGGAUCAGGUAGGGAUACCCGCUGAACUUAAGCAUAUCAAUAAGCGGAGGA